UAUUUUGACUAUACAAAGGUAUUGUAAUAAGACUUUAAUUGAGUGCUAAGAGAAUGGACUUUCAAAAAAAUUCUUUUUUAAAUUUAAAAAUUAAAGUUAUUUUUAUUUGUGAAGAAACAAUAAUGAAAAUUAUAGACAAGAAGACCCUAUGAAUUUUAACUAAAUUAAACUAAAGCUUUAGUUUAAUUUAGUUUAAUUGGGGCGAUUAAAAAAAAUAAUAAACUUUUUAUAAAAUAAAAUGAUCCAUAAAUUAUGAUUAAAUGUAAUAAAUACUCUAGGGAUAACAGCGUAAUAAUUUUAGAUAGAUCUUAUAGAAAAAAUAGUUUGCGACCUCGAUGUUGGAUUAGGAUACUUUUUUAAUGAAGAAGUUAAAAUAAGAAGUUUGUUCAACUUUUAAAAUCC
rnacentral:rRNA from 1 species